rnacentral:rRNA from 1 species
CGGGGCUUAAAGUCUUGUAAUUGGAAUGAUGGGAAUUUAAACCUCUUCCAGAGUAUCAAUUGGAGGGCAAGUCUGGUGCCAGCAGCCGCGGUAAUUCCAGCUCCAAUAGCGUAUAUUAAAAUUGUUGCAGUUAAAAAGCUCGUAGUUGAAUUUCUGCUGCAUUGAUUGUGUCCCUCUGGGGUCUGUGCAUGUGGCUUUUUUCGGACGGAGUUUCUUUGUCUGAAUGUUUACUUUGAGAAAAUUAGAGUGCUCAAAGCAGGCUUUCGCCUUGAAUAGUUUAGCAUGGAAUAAUAAAGUAGGACUUUGGUUCUAUUUUGUUGGUUUUAGGUACCAAAGUAAUGGUUAAUAGGAACAGUUGGGGGCAUUCGUAUUUAACUGUCAGAGGUGAAAUUCUUAGAUUUGUUAAAGACGAACUACUGCGAAAGCAUUUGCCAAGGAUGUUUUCAUUAAUCAAGAAC